GUAAGUUCAUGCCGUAACGACCCUUGUCACCCUUGCUUAGGAACGUCCUGGCCGGCUGGUGUGGACAGUCAGGUGCCCGUAAACUUGGCAGAUACACAAAUGCUACCAACAUGUGGCCUUUCUGUCAGUGCGACGCCGUUUCUGACCUGCGACGUCUUGGCGCUUCCCCAGCCCUCGGCGCCCAGACCUGUGGCCUAGAGAACAGUCCCAGCGCUCGGACGUGGAGCCUGCAGCACCUCCCUCGGAAGGACGGACGGAAGGAAGGACUGCACGCCCCAUGCAGGUCGUACAUCAUGGGGUUACCAAACAGAUCCGUCUGCGAUAUCUGGAAAGUGAUCAUCAUGUCGUCUUCCACGCUCCCCUCAUACUCCAACAGAUCCUUCAAGCUCUGAAACAGAACCUAACAACAGAAACGGAAAACCAAGGUCACCACGGAGCCGCAGACUGCACCCUCUGUAGCACUCUCGGAAGAACAGACUUGGACCAUAAGAUUGAAACACAGCGCCCUGGCCGGCGUGUUCAGUGGUUAGAGCACUGGUCCGCACCUGGAGGGUAGUGGGUUUGAUUCUCCAUCGGACAGGUUGCAGGUCCGAUCUCCACCCUCAGGACAUGUGUGGGGAGCAACCAAUUGGCGUGUCUCUAUCACAUCGGUGUGUCUCUCCCUCCCACCCCCACCCUCAGAAAAAAAAUCAAUGGGAAAAUUUACCCUCCCUGCUCGGGUGAAGAUGAAAAAAACACAGCUCCCAACAUGGGAACUACAGGUGGCGGCGAUGCCCACUCUGUGCUCGGGAGGACGGGGGCGAGGAGACACACCGACUGUGGCCACCAGGCCCUUCCCCGUGGCUUCGCCGGGUAACCCCGUGGGACCAGCCCCCCAGAACCCGCCUGCAGAGAGCCGUGUCUAUAAAGAGCCCGAGGCUUUCGAGGGCUCGUGGACUCGGACAGGAGACGGCGCUGGUGCUGGCGGAGACCGACGCAGGUCGGGGACACUCACCGGGUGGGAGUCGCCCAGGUCCCGGAAGGUGCCCUUCUUGCCCAUGAGCUUCCUGUAGACCACCAUGGGGAAGUGCACGUCCAGGAUGCAGUUGUUGUAGAUGGCCAGGCCCAGCACGAUGCCGAUCAGCGUGAACUGGCCCUCCGUUUCAAACGAGGACGGAUUGAACCAGAACAGCUUUGUGUUUUCAUCGUAGGUGAACAUGCCUGUAAGAAAAGGUUUUGUAAAAUACAAAAUAUUAAAGACUGAGGAGCAAUACAAACAGGAUAAUUACACAGGCAAACACACAGAAUAGGCAUACAGGAAUGUUUCUCUCUAUUACAUUAGCACUUGAGAAACCAAAGCUCACAUAUACGAUGAUUACAAAUUGUGGCAAAGGUAGCACUGUCCGUAAUUUUAAAGAAGCCAAGGAAACAAGCAAUUUCUUUGGCAUUACCAAAAAGUUAGAUUCAAGUUCUCUACUCUUCUAACACAAAGUUAAUUUGCAUUCAUACUUUAUCUACCAAAUGGCUGAAAAACGCAGAGAGAAAAGGCUGUAUUUUGAAAUUUUUUCACUUUAAAAACAUCUUUAACCCCCAAGUGCUGCUUUAAGGCACAAUUCUGGGUCGUGAAGGGAAAGUCUGUUUUUCCAGAAGUGCACAGGGGCCCCACCAAGUGUGUCCAGCACCUCUCUAACCAAGUCAGGUGAUGCCAACUCCAUACACUCGGAUUAUGUCCACAGCUCAAAGCUGCCUGAUACACUAAUUCUGAGCCAAUAAAUAAAACAAAUGUUGUUUGUAUUCACAGCCCCCUUCAGUUUUUAUGGCCUCCACUAUUCAAAAUCCAAGCUUGGAGACCUGUCUUUUGUCUCACUCAUUUAAAAAGAUAAAUCUUUGGCUCUGCCUGUCUUAACAACCAUUACUACCCUUUAAAUGAACAUCUAAGGACAAGGUUAAUCUUGUAAUUGAAGUUACAAUAUUUUAUUUCACUAAAAUGUUUUUCAGUUGCUAUUGAAAACUAAAUAAAAAUAGUUUAAGAAUUACAUCUGGAGCCCAGCUGGUGAGGCUCCGUGGCUGAGCACUGACCUAUGAACCAGGAGGUCACGGUUCCAUUCCCGGUCAGGGCACAGGCCCGAGUUGUGGGCUCAAACCCCAGUGGGGGGUGUGCAGGAGGCAGCCGAUCCAUGAUUCUCUCUCAUCACUGAUGUUCCUCUCUCCCUCUCCCUCUCCCUCUCCCUGCCUCUGUGAAAUUAAUAUAUUAAGAACAAAUCUGGAAAAAAUGGGGAAUUUCAAGUACAACAAACUUCAGAAAUCAAUACAGCACAUAAAUAAAUA